ACCCAGUCUAGUCUCACUCUGACCUGCAGAAAACUUUUUAUAACCUUUUAACAGACUGCCUGCCAGAAAGAUAGCUUUUAAUGUGAACCUGAAACCCACGCCAUGGAAAUUCAGCUGCGAGUAUAGAAGCCACAAACUCUCAGGGUCUCAGCUUCUCACCUCUGGGCUACAUUAAUUAAGUUGUCACGCUGACAUUUGAAUAGAGGAGCCAAUGCUGAACCCCUUUACGUCUGCGCUGUAUACUGACGUGCCUGGGGCUGCUGAAAGGAGAGCAGCCACAAAGAAGCUUGAAAAACAAGGUUCUUGCGGACUCAAACGCCGGGCGUUUGGCUUGUCAUUGUGGUUUCUCAUAAAUGGGUAGAAGGCCCCAAGCUGCAUCCAUCGCACACACAACUCCUCAGUGGUGUUGCCUCCAAAGCCACAGAUGUCCGCCCCCACAAGGGGCACGCCGAACAGGCUGAACUGCAGCACCGCUGUGGGGGAAAGAGAGGGGUGCAAAAGGGAUGGAGUAUCGCAUCUGCUCCCAGUCACUCCUGACGUCCCCUGUCCACACUCCAGAGAAGCGUCCGAUGCCAGGGUAGGAGGAGCGAGACAGGACGAAGGGUCUCUUCCCUCGUACCUUCCUAAGAGCACUGAGGAUGGCAGUGAAUCCCGGGAUUUAAAACAGCAUACAAGACAAAGAACAAAAGAACAACUUAGCAGCAUUCUGUGGUGUCACAUUGAGCUCCAGCAAAGUGAAAUUGGUAGGUUCUCAAAGAAAGUCUAUCAUUUUACACACAGUCAACCAUGCAAGAGCAAUUUUAAUUCCCAUGAGCUGUACCACUACUUAAUACCACUACAUACACUAUGUUUUGCUCAUGUGACACAUUGUUGAUCCACUUUUAAGCUAAGCUAAGCUUUUAAGCUUAAGCUAUAUGACUAUGUGGUAAAAAAUGUAUUACUUCUUUGUCAACUGAUGUCAAAAGAUUUGACUUUGUUUUUGUUACAAUGGUGUAUUACAUAAAAUGGCUUUUGCAAACUGCG